rnacentral:rRNA from 2 species
CCUUCUCAAACAUUCUGUUUGGUAGUGAGUGAUACUCUCUGGAGUUAACUUGAAAUUGCUGGCCUUUUCAUUGGAUGUUUUUUUUCCAAAGAGAGGUUUCUCUGCGUGCUUGAGGUAUAAUGCAAGUACGGUCGUUUUAGGUUUUACCAACUGCGGCUAAUCUUUUUUGUACUGAGCGUAUUGAAACGUUAUCGAUAAGAAGAGAGCGUCUAGGCGAACAAUGUUCUUAAAGU